rfam:Deltaproteobacteria bacterium RBG_13_65_10 RBG_13_scaffold_3565, whole genome shotgun sequence.
GUCGCCGCGAGGCGGGGUCUGAAAGAAGCGUGGAGCAAACGCGCGGGCCGAUGGACAAGAACCGGAUAAGAGGCGUGAGCGCCGGACGAGCGGGCUUUGGACCGCGAAGUCCAUAUCCAUCAAGGGCGCGGAGCGUAUAUUCGGCGGCUGUGCGCGGAAGGCGGUCGAAC